rnacentral:rRNA from 1 species
AUUGAACGCUGGCGGAAUGCUUUACACAUGCAUGUCGAGCGGCAGCGCGGGGCAACCUGGCGGCGAGCGGCGAACGGGUGAGUAACAUAUCGGAACGUGCCCAUUGGUGGGGGAUAACACAUCGAAAGAUGUGCUAAUACCGCAUAAGACCUGAGGGUGAAAGGGGGGGAUCGCAAGACCUCUCGCCGUUGGAGCGGCCGAUAUCGGAUUAGCUAGUUGGUGGGGUAAAGGCUCACCAAGGCGACGAUCCGUAGCUGGUCUGAGAGGAUGAUCAGCCACACUGGAACUGAGACACGGUCCAGACUCCUACGGGAGGCAGCAGUGGGGAAUUUUGGACAAUGGGGGCAACCCUGAUCCAGCCAUUCCGCGUGAGUGAAGAAGGCCUUCGGGUUGUAAAGCUCUUUCGGCAGGAACGAAACGGUUUGGGCUAAUACCCUGAGCUAAUGACGGUACCUGAAGAAGAAGCACCGGCUAACUACGUGCCAGCCGCCGCAGUAA